rnacentral:tmRNA from 1 species
GGGGGUGACCGGUUUCGACUUCGCCAGUUCGUGUCAAGGGAAGCGGGCCGAGGACGGCGGACAUAACCUCGUAAAUCCUGUGUCCGCAAAAAAAUAAGUGCCAAUUCCAAGGCCACCGUGGGCAGCCAGCGUGAGCUGGCUCUCGCUGCCUGAUAAGCGAGUCGACCCACUGUCAGCCCGGGAGCGCCUCCGGCCCGGUGUCUGGCAUCGCUAGGAGGCUCAACCGUUCGGCCCGGCCACGGGGCUGAGCGGGAAACCUCACAGUGGCUGGGCCCUCGGCGACUCGCCUGCGUGUCCGCCGGGGCCGAGAAACCCAGAGCAGGCUGCGCCCGGAGAAGCCUUGGCCCGAUGGCGAAGGACGCGGGUUCGAUUCCCGCCACCUCCACGU